rnacentral:rRNA from 1 species
CAGUCGCCACGGUAAUACGUAGGGUCCGAGCGUUGUCCGGAAUUAUUGGGCGUAAAGGGCUCGUAGGCGGUUUGUUGCGUCGGGAGUGAAAACCUACAGCUUAACUGUGGGCUUGCUUUCGAUACGGGCAGACUUGAGGCAUUCAGGGGAGAACGGAAUUCCUGGUGUAGCGGUGAAAUGCGCAGAUAUCAGGAGGAACACCGGUGGCGAAGGCGGUUCUCUGGGAAUGUUCUGACGCUGAGGAGCGAAAGUGUGGGGAGCGAACAGGAUUAGAUACCCCCGUAGUCCCUGUCUCUUAUAC